AGUCGUUCUGCCCAUUGAAUUUUAAAGGCUGCGGUAUAUUAACUGUACAAAGGUAGCAAAAUAAAUAGUUUUUUAAUUGAGAACUUGAAUGAAAGAUUUGAUAAAAUAUAAAUUGUCUCAAAUAUAUAAUUUAAAUUAAAAGUAAAAAUGCUUUUAUUAUUUUAUUAGACGAUAAGACCCUAAGAAUUUUAUAAUUUAUUUUAUUAUAAAAUUAAUAAUAAUAUUAAAUUAUUUUAUUGGGAGGGUAAUUAAAUUGAACUUUAAUUAAUGUAAAUAUUAAUAAAUAAAUUUAAUGAUUAAUUUUUUGAUUAUAAGAUUAAAUUACCUUAGGGAUAACAGCGUAAUAAUUUUGGAGAGUUCAUAUUGAUAAAAUUGUUUGCGACCUCGAUGUUGAAUUAAAAUGAAAAUUAAAUGUAGAUAUUUAAAUUUUUAGUCUGUUCGACUAUUAAAAUUUUAC
rnacentral:rRNA from 1 species